rnacentral:rRNA from 1 species
GAUGAACGCUGGCGGCGUGCCUAAUACAUGCAAGUCGAGCGAACGGACGAGAAGCUUGCUUCUCUGAUGUUAGCGGCGGACGGGUGAGUAACACGUGGAUAACCUACCUAUAAGACUGGGAUAACUUCGGGAAACCGGAGCUAAUACCGGAUAAUAUUUUGAACCGCAUGGUUCAAAAGUGAAAGACGGUCUUGCUGUCACUUAUAGAUGGAUUCGCGCUGCAUUAGCUAGUUGGUAAGGUAACGGCUUACCAAGGCAACGAUGCAUAGCCGACCUGAGAGGGUGAUCGGCCACACUGGAACUGAGACACGGUCCAGACUCCUACGGGAGGCAGCAGUAGGGAAUCUUCCGCAAUGGGCGAAAGCCUGACGGAGCAACGCCGCGUGAGUGAUGAAGGUCUUCGGAUCGUAAAACUCUGUUAUUAGGGAAGAACAUAUGUGUAAGUAACUGUGCACAUCUUGACGGUACCUAAUCAGAAAGCCACGGCUAACUACGUGC